AGCUUGUCAGGAACAAUCAAUGUUUUCCUGCAGAGCGGUUUCUGGUCUUAAAGAGGGAGAGAGGUACAGCGGUGCAGUGACACGCAGAUCGGAUUCCGGGGCUUCUGAACCUCCUGUGUGAGGAAGUUGCUCUUCUGUUUCAGGUGGAAAAUAACCUGGAGAUCCGACUUCCAUCUCUCCCUCUCCCACGAGGGAAGAGUCCUGAACAGGUUAGCCGGAGAUGGUUUUGGAUACAAAAGCAUCUGCUGGGAGACACUGACCGGAGCCUUCAGACGUCCACCAUUGGCUGCUGGGAAAUCCAUUGUGCGCUGAAGAAGUCCAGUACAAGCGACUACAUGCCAGAGUGGGCUUCUCAACCUCAACGGCCAUCCAGCAUUUCCCCCGAUGUCUGACCCUGGACCGGCCAGGCCAGGCCUACAGUGAAACAGCUGUCUGUGCUCCUGCUUUUGCAGUCCUUUUGUUCUCCCACACCCCUGCAGUUCUCUGUGUCUGUGUGUACGUGCCUAUGUAUAUCACUCUGUGAGCUCCUAUAGGGAGGGAGGCAGUGCCAGUUCAGCUCCAUCGCAUCUGAAUGAGCUGUAAGUACAGACAGGAAGGAAUCAAGGUCUCACUCUCUCUCUCACACACACUCUCUCUCUCUCCUCCUCUCUCUCUCUCUCUCAUUACAUUGUGGCUGGAAUUAAUCAGAUGGACAGGGCAGAAUGUGGACACACACACGCACACACACACACACACACUCACACAACCCUCCGCCUGUCGUUUAUUUCAGAUCACAGUAAACAAGAAUUCAAUUGAACUUUUUUUUUCUCCUUUCAAAAUCUGUUACAAUUAAAUGUUAUCAUCCACUCUGAGGGUGCAGACACCCAGAGAUGAAUGAAGCACAGCGGCGUGUGCCUGGAGGGUAGAGGUCUUUGGGCCUGGAGGGUAGAGAUCUAUGGGCCUGGAGGGUAGAGGUCUAUGGGCCUGGAGGCUAGAGGUCUAUGGGCCUGGAGGGUAGAGGUCUAUGGGCCUGGAGAGUAGAGGUCUUUGGGCCUGGAGGGUAGAGAUCUAUGGGCCUGGAGGGUAGAGGUCUAUGGGCCUGGAGGCUAGAGGUCUAUGGGCCUGGAGGAUAAAGGCCUUUGGGCCUGGAGGAUAGAGGUCUAUGGGCCUGUAGGGUAGAGGUCUAUGGGCCUGUAGGAUAGAGGUCUAUGGGCCUGGAGGGUAGAGGUCUAUGGGCCUGGAGGGUAGAGGCCUAUGAGGCCUAUGGAGCUGACUGCCCAACCACCCUUCCUAGCAGUGCUGAUAUACAGAAUACAGCCCGGCGGACAUCUUAUAGACUUCUGUAACUCUCUGUGAGCACCGUUAAUGCGGUAGAGAUUCUAGCCCACUUCUAAAGUGGGACCUAAGCCCUGGGUUGGCUGACCCUGCCCCAGAGCCCAAGCUAGGUUUUGAAACGGCUGGUAGACUGGUUGACCUGUUCAGACCAUCUCCUAGCUCAACAUGGUUAUGGUUUAGCUGGUUGACGUGUUCAGACCAGCUCAAGCUAUGUUUUGACACAGCUGCUACCCGAUUGACCCACUACCAGCUCAGACAAGCUACCAGCACUAGUUGGUUGACCAGCUCAUACCCAGCUAGACCAGCUUCAUGAACAGCUUGACCAGCUCAAUUUUGGUCAAGCUAGCAUAUCUGGAUUUUACAGCAGGGUGGGCACGCCCAAGCCUGUACAAAUGAAUCUGCAUCAACUGCAGGUACAUUAACGUUGUCGAAAAUUCUAAAUUCAACUUUGGGAUGUUUUCGGACAAGCGUCAAGCCACAGAAAGUCUGGGACAGUCCACCCAGUAAAGGAAGGGGCUCAGAGCCUGGGCUCCUGAAUUGGAGCGGACAGGUGUGUUGGUUUUCCGUGGAGUCUGAAAGCAGCGGUGUGAGUCAGCACUCUCAGCCCAGCUCGUUGUGCUUCCCCGGAACGGAGAGCUUUUGUUUUCUGUGUAGGAGUGACUGGUGCACUAAUUAAUUUAUUUUGCCUAAUUGGACCCUCGGAUGGAGAAGCAAUCCAGAUGCUUCAGCGUUGACCCAUGUACCCAUUAAUAAAUAAAUGUAAAAAAAAGUAAUUAUAAAACCGCAUACACGGCUGGCCAUCUCUGCUUCACCUCUGUUACGUUUUUGUUGUUUAUUUUUUUGACACAAUGAAGGUUGUUGUUGUGCUCGUGA